CUGUACCUUUAUUAAGGAUGCUGAUAUUUGGGGGAUUUACUUAUUUAUGCUGUACUAGAGAUUGAACUCUACUACUGAGCUAUAUCCCCAGCCCUUUUUAUAUUUUAUUUUGAGAUAGGGUCUUGCUAAGUUACCCAGGCUGGUAAAAAACUUGAGAUCCUCCUGCCUCAGCCUCUUGAGUCACUGGAAUUACAGGUAUGCACCACCCCACCUGGCUUCAUUUUUUUUAAUUGAAACAUAAAAAUAAGAGGUCUUUACACCAAGGGACAUUAAGCAGAAGGAUUUCAGAUAUCCUAUAAUCUAUGCCUUUGUUGAAGAUCUACAGCCAGCAUCUGGGACAGAGAAACAUCUGGAUCUUAGCUCUGCUUCCAUAGGACAAAUCAUUAUAUGUUGGGGAAAAGAAGACAUUAUAUGUUGGGGAUCUCAAGUCUUUCUUGGACAUUUUUUCUCAAAGAAACCUCUUAAGUUUACUUUCCAAAGACAAGACUUUCCCUUCACUGUCUUCACUUCCAUGAAUCUGGAGCCCCAACUGCCAAUGUCUCCAAAAGAGCCACAGAACAAGAAAAAAUAUAAAGUAAAAUAAGUCAAACUGGUUGAAAGUGUUGGGCCCCAUGUAGAUGAUCUUUCACAUUAUUUUGCAGAAUCCUUUCCCCCUUGUUGUCUCAAUUUCUCUGCAAUACAAGAGGUUGUUUUUUUUUUUGUUUGUUUGUUUUUGCCAUGCUGGAACUCAAACCCAGGGGCUUGCUUGUGCUAGGCAGCUAUUCU
rnacentral:lncRNA from 1 species